UACAGAGGUCCCAAGCGUUGUUCGGAUUCAUUGGGCGUAAAGGGUGCGUAGGUGGCGCCGUAAGUCAGGUGUGAAAUCUCGGGGCUUAACUCCGAAACUGCAUUUGAUACUGCGGGGCUUGAGGACUGGAGAGGAGACUGGAAUUUACGGUGUAGCAGUGAAAUGCGUAGAGAUCGGAAGGAAGACCAGCGGCGAAGGCGGGUCUCUGGACAGUUACUGACACUGAGGCACGAAGGCCAGGGGAGCAAACGGG
rnacentral:rRNA from 1 species